rnacentral:misc_RNA from 1 species
UUUCCGUAGGCGAACCUGCGGAAGGAUCAUUAAUAAUUUUUUUGAAAUAAAAAAAAAUAAUAAUCAUCCUACCCUUGUGAAUUGUUUUGUUGAAUAAUUUUUUAAAAUAUUAUGUCAUCCAGUUGAAAGUUGUAAAGACUCGAAGACUUGGAGCGGCAUAAAUAAUUUAAGACUUUUUCUAAAAUAAACUUUUUGUAUUCAUUUGUCCAAAAUAUUUUAUAAUAUAUAAAAAACUUUGACAAUGGAUCUCUUGGUUCCGCAACGAUGAGAACGCAGCAAAAUGCGAUAAGUAAUGUGAAUUGCAGAAUACGUGAUCACGAAUCUUCGAACGCAUAUUGCACUUUUUUAGUUUACAAAAAAGUAUGUCUGUUUGAGUAUCAGUAAAUAUCUCAUAAAAUUUUUAAUUUUAUGGUUAUGAGUGUUUACAACGAUAACAAGUUGUUUCACUUAAAUUGAAUUUUUUUGAAGAAAUUCUUUAAUUCAAAUUAAUUUGGAUAAAAUUUCCCGUAAAAAGGAUAACUAUACAAGUUUAAUAAGAAUUUAGUGAUUUCUUUAUGAAAGGAAAUUUAUUAAAUAACUUGAUCUCAAUCAGAUAAGUACCGCUGAACUUUAGCAUAUCAAAGCGGAGAAAGAAACUAACAAGGAUCCCUAGUAACGGCGAGCGAGCGGGAAGAGCUCAAAUUGAAAUCUUAAAGGUUCCCUUUACGAAUUGUAGUUUAAAGAAGUGUUUUCUGUUGAGGUUUUGGUAAAAGUUCUUUGGAUAGGACAUCAUAGAGGUGAGAAUCCCGUAUUGACCUUUACUUCAACUUGUGAUACACUUUCAAAGAGUCGGUUGUUUGGAAUGCAGUCCAAAAUGGUGGUAAAUUUCAUCUAAAGCUAAAUAUUGGCGAGAGACCGAUAGCGAACAAGUACCGUGAGGGAAAGAUGAAAGAACUUGAAAAGAGAGUAAACAGUACGUGAAUUGUCAAAGGAAGCGUUUGACACCAGUGUGUUUUCUGAAAUCAUUAAAGAACUGUUUAUGCUAAGUGUUUAGACUUUAUCAGCUAACUGUUUAGUUUUGAGCUUUUCUUUAAUGCACUUUUCAGUUAACAAGUCACAUCAUUUCUUUGCUGUAAAAAGCUGAGGAAGUGGCUUGAGAUUCGUCUAAGUGUUUAUAGCCUCUGCCUAUGCAGUCGAGAGAUUGAGGUCUGCAGCGUAGACCUUCGGGCUAAAUGCAUUGUGCUAAGUACAGCACUUUAAGACAACUUGUUGACUAUGAUUGUCUUGUAGCUACUCGCUAUGUAUUUACCUACGCUUAGGAUGUUG